GAAUCCCGUCUUUGGCACGGAUGCCUGGCGCUUCUGUGAUGCGCUCUCGAAGAGUCGAGUUGUUUGGGAAUGCAGCUCAAAAUGGGUGGUGAACUCCAUCUAAAGCUAAAUAUUGGCGAGAGACCGAUAGCGAACAAGUACCGUGAGGGAAAGAUGAAAAGCACUUUGGAAAGAGAGUGAAACAGUACGUGAAAUUGUUGAAAGGGAAACGCUUGAAGUCAGUCGCGUCGACCGAGACUCAGCCUCGCCUUGGCUUGGUGUACUUCUCGGCACGACGGGUCAGCAUCAAUUUUGCCCCUCGGAUAAUGGCAGGGGAAAGGUGGCACCUUUACGGUGUGUUAUAGUCUCUUGUCGCAUGCAAGGGUUGGGAUUGAGGAACUCAGCACGCACCUUUGGGUGUCGGGGCUUUGCCCACGAUACAUGCUUAGGAUGUUGGCGUAAUGGCUUUAAACGACCCGUCUUGAAACACGGACCAAGGAGUCUAACAUGCCUGCGAGUGUUCGGGUGGAAAACUCGUGCGCGCAAUGAAAGUGAAAGUUGGGACCUCUGUCGUGGAGGGCACCGACGCCCGGACCAGACCUUCUGUGACGGCUCUGCGGUAAAGCAUGUAUGUUAGGACCCGAAAGAUGGUGAACUAUGCCUGAAUAGGGUGAAGCCAGAGGAAACUCUGGUGGAGGCUCGUAGCGAUUCUGACGUGCAAAUCGAUCGUCAAAUUUGGGUAUAGGGGCGAAAGACUAAUCGAACCAUCUAGUAGCUGGUUCCUGCC
rnacentral:rRNA from 1 species